CCCAUCACAUUCAGAGGCAGAACUUGGAGACAGGAAGGACAUCACCCUCUUCUGGUCUUCAACCCACAACCCACUGGGGCAAGUUCAGAAGACUAGGGUGGAUACAAGAGGGCCUGGGGUAGAUCACAGGGACAGGGGCCAAACAUGAGGCAGGAGGUACCUGUUUGUCCAAGGGUUCAUACCUAAUACAUAUAGAGAAUACAUAAGUGACAGCUACAGUAGUAAGCAUUCUCAGCACCAUGAGAGCAGACCUACAGCAUGACAGGUAAGUGACAGCUACAGUACUAAGCAUUCUCAACACCAUGAGAGCAGACCUACAGCAUGACAGGUAAGUGACAGCUACAGUACUAAGCAUUCUCAACACCAUGAGAGCAGACCUACAGCAUGACAGGUAAGUGACAGCUACAGUAGUAAGCACUCGCAACACCAUGACAGCAGACCUACAGCAUGACAGGUAAGUGACAGCUACAGUACUAAGCAUUCUCAACACCAUGAGAGCAGAUCUACAGCAUGACAGGUAAGUGACAGAUACAGUACUAAGCAUUCUCAACACCAUGAGAGCAGAUCUA
ensembl:lncRNA